rnacentral:lncRNA from 1 species
UCAAGUAUAUUUGUUGUUGAGUUGUUGAGGUGCUCACAACCCAACUAAAAAUGAUGUCGUGAGUUGGGCUUGGACCAUCAAUGUGGUUAUGGUGAUGCUGUCCACGGCGCUGCCAUGAAGUACCUGAUCGACAAAAUAAAAAGAACCAGUUCCUUGUAUUAGGAUAGAAACAUGAGCACAAUAAAAAAUAGAACUUAAUAAGUAUCUGAUCAUAAUUUCAAAACCAUCAUCAUCCCUAGAAGUAGAAAAGGUCGGAGAGGUCGCCUAUGUAUAAAAAUUUGGCAAGUUAAAGGUUUCAGGCCUAAAUAAGCAUCACCUAAUCGUUGAUAUUUUGAAAAAAAAUUGCAUCUUACAUUAAUUAAACAUCACAGUAAAGCAAAAGGUCACAUAUGACACAGUUUGAUGUAUGGAAAUCAUGUAAGAAUCACUACGGAGUACUUCACAGCAGAAAGUAGUGGCAUCACGGGUUCAAAAAAGAGCACAUUUUCUUAGUCCAAAUGAAUCCAUUGGUGAGAUAGGAAGAAAGCAGAGGAGCAUUGCAUCUAGGAGACAGUGCUAACAACCCAGUGAAAUAAAUCAUGUUUAAUGCACAAGCAGUACUUGGUUCGGCUGCAAUCUACUCGUAUGAUUUCUGUACUAUUCUCAUGUUACCCAAAGAAAGAGGGGGGAGGGAUUAGAAGAGACUCAGGUCGCCUACGCGACGGAAGAUGAGCAGGGGAAGAUGGAGGGAGCCGCCGCCGUCGGGGCUCCGGCGGGACUGGAUGGAGGGGAGGGCAAGGAAGGAGUAGGAGAGUUACCUAUCAAGUGCUUUCUCUGAAUAAAAACCACUAUUGUGUUUUCUGCAUCAUAUUGUACGGCACUGAACCAAGCAACUGGAAUUGACAAUGUAAUGAGCCAUUGCCCUUUUAGUAAGGUAAAUAUCAUCCCUAUGACUAUAACCAAUAGCAGGCACCAAAGUAAACAUCUAUGAAGGACUGUACACACACUAAGAAAGGCACUAAGAAAUUGUUAAUACAAAAACCAAAAUACUGAUCCGACCUUGAUCUCUAAUUACAAUUGCAGCACACAUUUGACAAUAUAUUUCCAUCAAGGAUUAUCUUUGUUUUGCAUAAUAAAGUAAUUCUACACUUGGAAUGUGUUGAUACAUCACCAUCUAUUUUUGUUAUGCCAGUACAACGGUUCUGAAUCCAUUUGACAACAAACAAUACCUAAAAUGCAUCAAACCUAAGUAAAAUAAAUGGGGGAGGGGUGCUACCUGAACACCGAGGAAACCUGCAGCAAACCGAACCACUGCCGGCUGGAAAGGUGAGGCAGAAUCAACACCAAGAUCUGUACCUGCAAAACAAAUUAGGCAGCACACAAACAAUAAAUCAAGUUUGGAUCCCCUGUCAUGUGCUAAAACUUUGUAAGAUAGUAGGAACAUCUAUUUAUUGGUGCAUCAAAUCACUACUAAAAAAGCCUGAAUAACCGAUGGUUCAACCAUGCGCAAGUACCUAAGAGUAGGCUGCUUUAUCAUGGAAGGAGGCAUUUCACUGGUAGACAUGGCAGGAGCAGCCUGAUUUUAGUCGAAGAACACCUGAGAUAGGACACGGUAACAACAAUAAAAGAGGGAACAAAUUAGCCACAGCGUACUUGUACUUCCAUACACCUACAAAAAGAACACAUGAAUAAGGUCCGGGAACUAUACUCUAAAUAAUUCUAUAGCUGCACGAAAACUUCCAGGAGAAAAAUUUGAACCCAAGCACAAUGCAAGCAGCAGGACUACUGUGGGGAGUUUGGGCUGUGUCAGAUGUGCCCUGCCUUCUACCGUGACCGUCUAUUUUCAUCCAUGGAUUUUACCCUAGAAACCUAGUGGGGAGCUAGCAAGAAGUGUGCGCUUCUAGAUAAGCCCGGUGGCGAACGGGAUACAGUCAAACACCAUAAAUGGUAAAAUGGGUACUGUGAUAAACCUACACAUCCACUACAAAAAUGACAGCAAAGCUAGAUAAAUCUGUGCAUAAACUGAUAAUGCUUGACAUAGUAAGAGAUACAUGUGUAGCCUGACAGUAUAUACAGCAGGGCUCACAGAAUAUUGAAAUUACAAAUGAAUUGUUAAUUUUAGCCUUUUAAUUGGAAAUAUUGAAAGAAAAAAAAUCUCCGAAGACACCCUUUUCGGCAGUGUUCACAUGCAUAGAAUAACAAAAAUAACAAUAUUAACAGUCUAUAGAUACUGCACUAACCAACAAUACUCCAAUUAAGCUAAUAAUGUAUCUCUUUGUCCAGAUCAUGAAGCAGAGAAUAAAAGACUUGUAUGCACUAAUGUAUACCUCUAAUUAACCACUACAUGGCACUUAUACAUUUCUGCAUAAAUCAUGCAUCCAUCCGCGACUUCAAAUGAACCUUAACUGCCAUAGUAUCUAAAAAGCUUCAAUAUCAUUGAAACAAUAUCUUCCAUCACUUGAACUGCCCAAAGGUGAAAGCCAUUUAUUUCAGGAUAAAAAGGUGUGAAUCGACGAAAUCAUCAUAAUAAUCCAGUUCACUUGGGACAUACCUGCAGUUUCAGAGAACAAUGAAGCAGUCAAAUAUAAAUAACAAAUCUCAAAUUACUGAAACAUCAGUUUCACAUGAUAAUCCAGUGAAUCUAGGUAUAUAAAUAGUACAAGUAAACUGAAGAAUAUAUCUCAAAAAGAAACAAGAUCACCAGAUCUGGGGCAUCAAUGUACAAAUAAACUGAAGAAUAUAUGUUAAAAAGAAACUGAAGAAUAUAUCUCAAAAUAGAAAAGGAAGGUAAAUAAAGAGAAAUUUCUAUGGACAUAUUUUCAUGUACUCACCUCUCCUUCAUCAAGUCCUACAUGAGCACGCAAUCGCUUCCUAGAAUUAAUAACUUUCCUGUAAAUGAUGAGGCACCCACUACGCAGAGCGACCUGAAUAUCCCAUCUUGACAGAUAC